GCAACAGCUCAAAUUUGAAAUCUGGCGCAAGCCCGAGUUGUAAUUUGCAGAGGAUGUUUCGGGUGAGGCCGCGGUCCAAGUCCCUUGGAACAGGACGUCAUAGAGGGUGAGAACCCCGUACCUGGCCGCCGGUGCCCCCCGCUGUGAAACUCCUUCGACGAGUCGAGUUGUUUGGGAAUGCAGCUCUAAAUUGGUGGUAAAUUCCAUCUAAAGCUAAAUACCGGCCAGAGACCGAUAGCGCACAAGUAGAGUGAUCGAAAGAUGAAAAGCACUUUGAAAAGAGAGUUAAAAAGUACGUGAAAUUGUUGAAAGGGAAGCGCUUGCGGCCAGACUUGCCCGCGGUUGCUCAGCCCGCCCUCUGGCGGGUGCACUCUUCCGCGGUCAGGCCAGCAUCGGUUUGGGCGGUCGGACAAAGGCGCCGGGAACGUGGCCUCCCCUCGGGGAGGUGUUAUAGCCCGGUGCGCAAUGCGGCCAGCCCGGACCGAGGUUCGCGCUCUGCUAGGAUGCUGGCGUAAUGGCCGUAAGCGGCCCGUCUUGAAACACGGACCAAGGAGUCUAACAUCUAUGCGAGUGUUUGGGUGUCAAACCCGUGCGCGUAAUGAAAGUGAACGGAGGUGGGAACCGCAAGGUGCACCAUCGACCGAUCCCGAUGUCUUCGGAAGGAUUUGAGUAAGAGCAUAGCUGUUGGGACCCGAAAGAUGGUGAACUAUGCGUGAAUAGGGUGAAGCCAGAGGAAACUCUGGUGGAGGCUCGCAGCGGUUCUGACGUGCAAAUCGAUCGUCAA
rnacentral:rRNA from 1 species